GCCGUCGUUGUCUAACGGCAGGAUGCGCCCUUCGUAACGGCGCGGUGCGGGUUCGAUUCCCGCCGACGGCUCCA
rnacentral:tRNA from 1 species